CUGAGAGGGUGAUCGGCCACAUUGGGACUGAGACACGGCCCAGACUCCUACGGGAGGCAGCAGUGGGGAAUAUUGGGCAAUGGGCGAAAGCCUGACCCAGCAACGCCGCGUGAGGGAAGAAGGUUUUCGGAUUGUAAACCUCUGUCCUAAGGGACGAAGGAAGUGACGGUACCUUAGGAGGAAGCCCCGGCUAACUACGUGCCAGCAGCCGCGGUAAUACGUAGGGGGCGAGCGUUGUCCGGAAUGACUGGGCGUAAAGGGCGUGUAGGCGGCAGUAUAAGUCCGGAGUGAAAGUCCUGCUUUCAAGGUGGGAAUUGCUUUGGAGACUGUACAGCUUGAGUGCGGAAGAGGUAAGUGGAAUUCCCAGUGUAGCGGUGAAAUGCGUAGAGAUUGGGAGGAACACCAGUGGCGAAGGCGACUUACUGGGCCGUAACUGACGCUGAGGCGCGAAAGCGUGGGGAGCGAACAGGAUUAGAUACCCUGGUAGUCCACGCGGUAAACGAUGAAUGCUAGGUGUAGGGGGUAUCGACCCCUUCUGUGCCGGAGUAAACACAAUAAGCAUUCCGCCUGGGGAGUACGGCCGCAAGGUUGCAACUCAAAUGAAUUGACGG
rnacentral:rRNA from 1 species